AGCAGGGUAGAAGGGGGAAAUUUUUUCAAAAGCUCUUUGCUUUUUUGGCUAUAUCUUCAGAUCUUUAGUCACCUUUAGACUCUGUCCAAACCAAGGGUGGGAUGGCUGAGGUCUUGUAGAAAGGGGAACCUCUGAGAAUAGGACACUAUUUUCAUGGAUAGAUGUUUCUUUGUGGGAGACAGGGACAACUAGCCGGUGAAAAGAAGAGCCAGGAUCCUGGCUCCAACCAGCGACCUUGAAGGAGGCAAGUCUUCCUGGCCGCCUGGUGACAGGUCAGCAGCCUCACCCUGGGGGUGGGCAACGUUUGCCUGAGUGAGGGUGACGCCUAGCAAGGGGCACUUGAGGGGUUUGGAGGGAGGGGAUCUUUUUCCAUAGGAGCAUUGGGACAGGGGUUUAAGUGUAAAUUAGUAAAGGCUGAGGUGCCCUCUUGGAGGCGGGACGGAGCACUACCGCAGAGGGGACAAAAAGCCCUUGCCUCGCACCCAAUAAAUAUCUCCUUUGGUGGAUCUCAAAGAAUUAAGUCAAUUCGAAUCCAUGGACACAUAGACCAGCACCACUUCGAGAACUUCAGGUCUCCCUCUGGCUUUGGCUUGAACCUUGAUCUGCAGGGAGAGGGAUAGAGAGUAGGCUGGAGGCGACCCAGGGGGAGAAGAGCUCCUGAGAAGGACGUGGGGACAGGGCGGUCGCGGCCCUUACCUUGCUGACCACAUUCUGAACGAGGCCGGUGCGGAUGCCAUAGUCCCACUCGUGGCAAUCGCAGUUGGAGACGUUAUCCCCCUUGUCCGGAGGGGACGGGAGAGGUGGCGUGUCGCCCCCGUCCGUACCGCUGUUGUUGCUUCGGUUGCCCGCCGCCCCCCAGGCGGCCGUGGAGAAGGGGGUGGUCGGGGGACUAGUCCAAUUGCCCAUGUCGCCCCACCGGCCGGUGACUGUGGCCCCCGCCAGCUCGGCGCCUUUGCCGGCCCCGCGGCACCAGAAGUUGGGCUGGUCCAGGAGGAAGGAGUCCGAGAACUGGCUGAAGCCGAUGAACAGUGCUGGAAUCCAGGCAGGAAAGUGGGACUACUGAAUGACAGCCAAUAAGGAAGCUAAAUGGAGCCUCCAGCCUUCUAUGCUCUAUUUCCGCCAUAUGCUGGAGAUGAUGAGAAGAGCUGAGAGCGGACUUGGGGGACUGUGUGUUUGACUUCCUGUCUUCACAGAAGGGAAUGUGCUUCUGCUCCAUGUUAGGUCAGUGUGACCACUCACCAGUGAUUCUCCAGGGAGUUUCCAGGCCUUCAGCCUUGGAAUGAGGCUUCAUCAUUCGUAUCUCUUGUUCUGAGUUCCAGCUUCUAGGACUGAGCAACUGCUAGUUCCUCUGGCUCUCCAGUGUGCAAAUGGCUGUCAUGGGACUAUCCAGCUUCUGAUCAUGUAAACUAAUCCCCUUUAAUAGUCAUAUAAUAUGUAUA